UCCCACCGUAGUCAGUAGUUCUAGAGAUUUAUGCAUAGGGUUUAUAAGAUUGGAUGUAAUUAGGUCAUGGGUGAAAUUUCGAUGAGCCUAGAUAAAUGUAUGGGUCUGAGUACUUUUAUGUUACUUAUUAUUGGAGUAAUUUUGAUAGUAUAGAUGGAGAAAGAGAAGGUGAAGACACCAAAAACAGUAUGGGAUGCAUAUGCAACCAAAAUAUUUUGCCAGAUAUGUAAGGAAGAAACUCUAGCUGGGAAUAGGCCAGGGACUACCUUGAGUUCCAUUGGGUAUAAGAACCUUGAGAAAAUUUUUUUUUGCUAUCACCAAACGACACUACCCACAUGGAAAAUUGAAGAACAAAUGUGAUGCUUUGAAGCCACAGUACAACUUGUGGUUGGAUUUGAAGAGGGCUGCAACUGGUCUUGGUUUCGAUGUUACAAAGGGGAUAAUUACAGCAAGUGAUGAAUGAUGGGAGGACAAGAUAGCGCAAAACAAGAAAUAUGCAGCAUUUCGUGAAGCACCUAUGGACAACCUAGAUGAGCUUGAAGUUAUGUUUCAACACAUCAAUGUCACAGGUUUAUCUUUGGUCAUUCCGGGAGUUCAAAAAACUACAGCUCCCAUUGAGUUGGUGAUGAUAGUAAUGAGAAAGAAGGAAAACGCAAAGCUAGAGAUGUUGACCAUACUUUUAGCCCAAAGAAGAAGGGUAGGAAUCCUAUGGUUAAGCAAGUGUCACGACUUAUCGAUGUGUUGGCUA